UUUUACUUUUUACUAUUAUUGAUUGAAGAAUAUCAUCAUUGCUAUCUUUACUUGAAACAAGGGAAGAUGAUGAUGUUGACGAAGAUGAGGACGCCAUGUCUGCCCAUUUGGCUUUGCCUUUAAGACUGGGUUUGGAUGACGAUUUAUCUGAAGAACCUGCUGGCGGUUUACUUGAGGAGGUUUUUACUGGAGAAUCUGUGGAAAGUUGCUGGAACAUUUCCUGGCAAAUUCUUUUAUACUCAUCAGGUGUUUUAGCCGCUGCUAACCUGGCUUGACACUGUGCUUUUUGGAUUCCAAAUGUAGGUUGAUCCUUUAAAGCAAGAGUUGUAGCAUAGGUUAAUGCAGGUGUACCAGA
rnacentral:lncRNA from 1 species